rnacentral:rRNA from 1 species
CAGCAGCCGCGGGAAUACGUAGGUGGCAAGCGUUAUCCGGAAUUAUUGGGCGUAAAGCGCGCGUAGGCGGUUUUUUAAGUCUGAUGUGAAAGCCCACGGCUCAACCGUGGAGGGUCAUUGGAAACUGGAAAACUUGAGUGCAGAAGAGGAAAGUGGAAUUCCAUGUGUAGCGGUGAAAUGCGCAGAGAUAUGGAGGAACACCAGUGGCGAAGGCGACUUUCUGGUCUGUAACUGACGCUGAUGUGCGAAAGCGUGGGGAUCAAACAGGAUUAGAUACCCGAGUAGUCCCUGUCUCUUAUAC